GCGCGCGUGCUGCCGCCUCACGUGACCCUCACGCCGCUGAGGCGCGGCAGGUUCGUUCGUUGCGCCUCUCUGGGCUCCCGCGGCGCGGGCGGGCGCGCUAACCACCCUUCCCCCUCCCCUCCCCCCCGCCUCCCUGCCGCCUCGGCCCGGCCGCGCUGGGGGCGUGGGAGGGCGGUUUCCCUCAGCGACCCGCCGUGACCCGCUCUGCGGUGCCCACGCCCUCCGCGUCCCGCGUGGGCCCGGCCCGUCCUGCCGGUUCCCCCUGCGGCGCCGCUCCGCGCCCGUGCCGCUUUCCUCGGCCGGGAGUGUGUCGAUGCAGGUUCAACCAAUACAGCAACCAGACAGACUGGAUACUGUGGGUUAAGAGGAAAUGUCUUCAAAAGGUAUGGUAGACACUUUAUAUGCAAGCCUGUUCUUAUUCCUAUUUCUGCUUCCUUUGGAAAAGAAAACACGGUUCAUCCCUUCCCACCUCCAUUUUCCCACAGAAAUGAGAAAAGCAAAAAGUGAAAUUCUAACCAAUCUUUACAAAGCAUAAGACUUAAAAUUCUCCCUGCAGCAUGGUAAAUUAACUAUCAACAUCUCUCCUGCAGAAGAAUCUUUUUGAGAACCACCCUUUUACCAGUCAAGGGAUGCAGCAACCAUUAUAAAACCUUUUGAUUCCAACUCAUGAUAUCUACAAAUGUUUUGUUUACUGCGAGCAGGAAAAUCAUAACUUCUAAUCAUGUACUUUUGGGUUUUCUUUCACUGUCCUUGCAUUUCCACAUCAAAGUUCUGGUCUUAAUUUGCAGAAAUUAUGUUGCUUGGCCAAAGGACCAGUGGUACCUACAAAUUGCCUUUUCAGAUAAGUGAGGUUGUGUGAAAGCACUCAUGACCUGGGAAUUCCUGAGAAGAUAAGAGAAUUUGGAGUUGAUACAGAAGCAGAUAAAGCCAGAAAGGCAGAACCUAAAUUAUUUGUUUCCAAAUAUGUUUUGUGCAAUGUGCUUUAAUUCUGCUGACAUUUUCUAAAGGAAAGGUUUUGUGCUCAUUUGUUGGUAUAAAUUCUAACGUGUUGUUCUGAAUUACACUCCACUUGGUACUUAAAAAACAGAGAGAAAUACUCUUUAGCUUUACAAAUUUAAGCCGCUAUCAAUUAACAUUUAUUCAACUUCUAAUAUUAAAAAAUGAAGGCUAUUUAUUAGUUAUUGUAACAUUAGUUAUUGAGAUUUGUGUUGAGCUCUUCAGCUAGAAAUUGGAAUUUGAUUCCAAUUUGGGAUUUGAUUGGAACUGAUAUUAACUACAGUUAAUAUUCCUUUUACGUGAUCAUGCACAACAUUCUUAAGACAAGCAGAGAUGCCCCAAAAUACAAAUGGAAGACUAAUGAGAUUUUCAGAAGCACUCUUGGCAGUGUUCCAGUUCCUGCUUGUAUUUUUCAAGUGUCUAAUGGCCAGAUUUUCAAAUGCUGUUUUUUGAGUUUUUAAAACUACCAGGUCUGAUCUCCUACUUGUUUUUUAUGCGUAGACAGAAAGAGGAAAAUGAGCUUUCUUGCCUUCUCAGAUCCCAGUUUUCAUCAGUUUUGCAUUAACCCGGUAAGAUGCUUCUCUGGAGCGUAGGAAAAUCUUUUCAGUCUUUGGAGGUGUCACAUGAAAAUAAGUGUUUCUUUUUCAAUUUAAAACUUCUUAUUUUCAUGUGGUAUUACUUUAAAUAGUAGGUACUUUCUAUUUAUAGCUACAAAGCAACAUUCUCAGAGGUCAAACAUUUAGGGUGGGAUAUAUCUCAUCCAAUCUCACUAAUUGAAAAAUUAGGCAUGUAGUCUAAUUCAGUCAUCUAGGUUCCUUCUGUAGAUAAAUUGGAGUAGGGAGGGAAGGGAGAGAGGCAGCUCUGCAGGCAAUUCAUUCCAUCCUGAGAUAUUCAUCCCACUAUCUAAAUGUCUUGGUCUUUGAAGGUGCCUGUCUCUCUAUUGAUUAAAGAUGGAGCCUGGAUGACUAGCUCAUAUUAGACAGCAGGCUUUUAGAUGGCUGCAGUUAGGAUGGGUUUCCUCUCAACUCGCAGAAAAAAAUCUCUAAAAAAACAAAUAUGAACAGGUGUCUUAGGGUUCUUGUACGUGUGUUUUACAAAAAAAUAAGCCUUUCUGAAUAACUUAGUGGAUUACUUUAUUACAGAAUUCUCCUUUCAACAAUUACUUUUUGCGUUUGCUGUAAUGCAGGCAGGAGGAACUGGCCAUGAGUAGGUAAGCAAUUAUAAAAGUCAAAUCAAGUAAGUACUUGUAACCUUGCCAUGCAGUUACUUGCAGGUGCAGUGUGCUAUAACAGAUGAUACAAAACAAGAAGACUUAAGUGUUUCAAGAAGAAUUUCACAGCAGGUAGUUUAAAAUCUUGUUAGUGAAAUAUUGUGUAAAAUAAGCAUAUAUAUUUAAAGGAAGUGUAUUUUAACUUGUUACUAUGGCUUCAAGUAACCUCUUAUUCCAGAAACAAGCUGAAUUCCUAAAGCCGCAACAAUAAGGAAUUCAUACUGAACAAUAGUCAUAUGUUGCAGUGUUUGAAUUCAUAUACAGCCAAUGCAUUUCAAACCCCAUCAAACCUGUUCAGAGAUAAACUAUAAAUAAUAAUCUAAAGGAAACAUUUUGAUGUGUUGUGUAAACAGUAUUUGAGUAACGUGAACAGGAGAAAGAUAAUUUCUCAUCACUGCCUUGUAAUAUUAUAAAGUAAGGUAUGCUGGACUAGAUGACUCAUGCUGUAAAGUUUACUCAGCACAAUCCACUCAGUGUAUCAUCCUGAAAAGGAGUAUAAUUAUUAAAGCAAGAGUGAAGCCAUCUGAUCUGUAUAUAUUACAGAUGUGUACACUUCCUGGGGAUUCGAGGUGUCUGAUACAUCAUGUGUUUCAGCCCUGCAUUUAGUGGAUUAGACAUGUAAUUUCUUUAAACAAUAGCAUAAAUUGUAUGCGUAAUCCAAAGUGCAUGACACAAAAAAAUGUUAAAUAGGAGAGAAUGCUGUGGCCUCAUUGGGAAUGUAUUUCUAUCCAUUCUCAUAAAAUUCUUGUACAAAUAGGAAUUGUUCAUUUUUUGUGUGGUAGCUCUUUAGUACAGAAGAUAUAGCCCUAUUAGAGAGAUUACAUACCAUCCUUUUUACAGACGGAAAAUCUUGUUCUGCUCCCUUGUAAUUUAUAAUGAUGAAACCACUAACUAUAUUAGUUAGAAAGGGUGGGGAAAAUAAAAACAGAAAGUUAAAGAUCUUGGGAGAGGUUCUCCCUGCACCUUUAGGCUUGCACCCACUUCAGUUCUCAAGAUAAUGUUUCCUUCUUUUCCAAAAUCUUUUUUCUUACGAAUGGAAGAAUCUGUGACUAGCUAGAUGGUGAGAUAUUAGCUGAAACAUUAGUUAGGAUAGAAUAACAAUUCAGUCCUUCACUUUUUACUCCUGUCCUUCCUUGCAUAUUACUUUCUUUUAGGUGUAUUGCUUUCUAAAGUUUGGGGGGGGAGGGGAAAGGAUAGGUCACGUGUUGGGAUUGAGCCCAUCCAUUUCAUUUGUUAUUGUAAAUCUAAAAUUGUUCUCAGGUAUCUGAACCAAGAUUUAGCAGGCCAGGUACUCAAAUUUUCUUUACAAUUUCUGCAUGAAGUGAUUUAAAUAUCCCCUCUCUCAGCUAAGGCCUAAUGCAGAAUUCUGUGAUACUAUAUUAGUUUUUACCCCAUGCUGCAAAAAUGGUGGGCUAAUCUUCAACUCUUCUAUUAACCACUGCUCCCUUGUUUAAGGUGGUCAGCUAUUUUAUUUACUGUAAUUGAAAACAAUUAGCCGUCCUUUCUGUUGUUCAUUGCAAAUGUGCCUCUUCUAGAAUGGCUUUUUCUUGGUUAGCUUACUUGAGGUAAAUAGAUCUAAAAAGAAGGAACAUGCAGAAGGUGUAAUGUAAUGAAGGUCAUGUUUCCUGCUCUUGUGCCUGGUGAUGGGUGAAUCUGGACAGCAGCCUGGCAGGGAAGAUUAGGAAAGUCCUCUGCCUGAUUCUGAAGUCUGGGAUAUACUGGAAGGUGGUCUUCAGUAAGUAUUGGGGUGAGCGAAUGUGCAAAGGAGACUUGGAGAGAAAAACACAUUGCUGAGUGGAAGAAUAUUCACAUGUAGUAGAAGAAAGAAAUUAUAUAUCAAUUUAAAUGUAUAUUUUUUCAAAUGAGUAAUCUAUUUAGGCUUAAUAUUUAAACCAUCACAUUGUUAAGAAUUUACUACUAGAAAUACAAACUUCUUUACCUUUUUUGUGUACGUACUACAGAAUUUACAGAUCAGAAUACAGGAGGUAAGUUUCCUGCAAAAAUACAGGAUAGUAUGUUGAAUCGGUUGUUUACAUUAAAUUCCGUAACAGUUGUGAAACAGAAUAUGGUUUUGGUAUAAUUCUAUGGAAAAUACUUCUGUGAUUAUAUAUAUACAUAUAUAUAUAUAUUUUAAAACCUUAAGUGAUCACUUUCUCGACUUCUUGACUACAAAAAAAAUGGGUUGUCAGAGCAUGGCCAUCUUCUGUACAGGAAUAUACAAUUAGUAUGAUUUUUAUUUUUUUCUGUUGAGAUACUUUUUAAUAGUGCAAGUUGAUUGAAGAGCAGCUGUACUCAAAUAGUCUGACCAGCAGAUGUAAUGUAAGAAGUUUGAAAUAAUGUUCCUUCUAUGUUAUAAAUAAAAAAACUCAGUGUUUGUACCUAACUGAUGUUUAAGGUUCAUCUUUUCCAAUUCUUUGUAUAAAUAUUGCUUUUCCAGUUAAAGUAAUGAUGUUGUAGUCCUGGGAACAUUAAUGAGACAAAUUGCUUGUGCUUGUAAGUGGCUUUGGCUCAUAAUCCUCCAGAAACAUAUUUUUAAAUAAAUUUUAUUGUUACCAUUGUGAUCCUA